UACGAAGGGUCCAAGCGUUAUCCGGAUUUAUUGGGCUUAAAGGGUGCGUAGGCGGCUUAUUAAGUCAGUGGUGAAAGCCUGUAGCUUAACUACAGAACUGCCAUUGAUACUGAUGAGCUUGAAUAUACUUGAGGUUGGCGGAAUGUGUCAUGUAGCGGUGAAAUGCUUAGAUAUGACACAGAACACCGAUUGCGAAGGCAGCUAGCUAAAGUAUGAUUGACGCUGAUGCACGAAAGCGUGGGGAGCAAACAGG
rnacentral:rRNA from 1 species